GAUGAACGCUAGCUACAGGCUUAACACAUGCAAGUCGAGGGGUAACGAGAGGAAAGCUUGCUUUCCUUGUCGACGACCGUCGCACGGGUGAGUAACGCGUAUCCAACCUGCCCCCAACUAGGGAAUAACCUUGCGAAAGUAAGACUAAUACCCUAUAAUUUCCUCAGAUGUCAUCUGACGAGGAAUAAAGAUUUAUCGGUUGUGGAUGGGGAUGCGUCUGAUUAGCUUGUUGGGGGGGUAAAGGCCCACCAAGGCAACGAUCAGUAGGGGUUCUGAGAGAAAGGUCCCCAACAUUAGAACGGGGACACGGUCCAAACUCCUAAGGGAGGAAGCAGUGAGGAAUAUUGGUCAAUGGGCGGAAGCCUGAACCAGCCAAGUAGCGUGCAGGAUGACGGCCCUAUGGGUUGUAAACUGCUUUUAUACAGGAAUAAAGUUAGCCACGUGUGGUUAUUUGUAGGUACUGUAUGAAUAAGGACCGGCUAAUUCCGUGCCAGCAGCCGCGGUAA
rnacentral:rRNA from 1 species